rnacentral:rRNA from 1 species
UACGUAGGGUGCAAGCGUUGCCCGGAUUUAUUGGGCGUAAAGGGCGCGUAGGCGGCCGCCUAAGUCAGACGUGAAAUCCCUCAGCUUAACUGGGGAACUGCGUCUGAUACUGGAUGGCUUGGAUUUGGGAGAGGGAUGCGGAAUUCCAGGUGUAGCGGUGAAAUGCGUAGAUAUCUGGAGGAACACCGGUGGCGAAGGCGGCAUCCUGGACCAUAACUGACACUGAUAAGCGAAAGCCAGGGGAGCAAACGGG